AGUGGCGAACGGGUGAGUAAUACAUCGGAACGUGCCCAAUUGUGGGGGAUAGCCCGGCGAAAGCCGGAUUAAUACCGCAUACGACUCAUGAGUGAAAGCGGGGGAUCGCAAGACCUCGCGCAAUUGGAGCGGCUGAUGUCAGAUUAGCUAGUUGGUGGGGUAAAGGCCUACCAAGGCGACGAUCUGUAGCUGGUCUGAGAGGACGACCAGCCACACUGGGACUGAGACACGGCCCAGACUCCUACGGGAGGCAGCAGUGGGGAAUUUUGGACAAUGGGCGAAAGCCUGAUCCAGCCAUGCCGCGUGCGGGAAGAAGGCCUUCGGGUUGUAAACCGCUUUUGUCAGGAAAGAAAAGCUUUGAGCUAAUAUCUCAGAGUAAUGACGGUACCUGAAGAAUAAGCACCGGCUAACUACGUGCCAGCAGCCGCGGUAAUACGUAGGGUGCAAGCGUUAAUCGGAAUUACUGGGCGUAAAGCGUGCGUANGCGGCUAUGUAAGACAGAUGUGAAAUCNCUGGGCUUAACCUANGAACUGCAUUUGUGACUGCAUUGCUAGAGUGUGGUANAGGGAGAUGGAAUUCC
rnacentral:rRNA from 1 species